CACGGUGGCCUCUGUCAGUGCUCCUCCCCCUCCCCUCUCUCUGUGCACCUGAAGAUUGGAACCAGCUGUGGACACUCUGCUCAUCACCUCACCGCCUUCUUAAGGGGAUCCAGACCUGCAGUCAUCGCCAGUCCGUUGCCUACCUCGGUUUCCAGAUCCACGAGUGUCCACCUGGGAGAUCUUCAGCUCGCUCCACACCAGCCUCGCCUCGAAGUCACGCCACGUUCCUCGCUCACCUCGGUUCCCAAGACAUCAGACAGUGCGCGGCGACCCGCACCGCACGUCUCGCUCCGCUCCAGCCACGCCACGCUCUCAGCUCAGCCCUCAAGCUCCUACGAGCCACGCCGACUCUUCGCCAGAGAUCCAAGCCAGCACUAAGUACCACCAGAACUGUUAUCUCCUGCCUGGAUAUUAAAGACUCUUUGUUAAUCGCCA